AGGGCCGCGGUAUUUUGACCGUGCGAAGGUAGCAUAAUCACUAGUCUUUUAAUUGAAGGCUUGAAUGAAUGGUUGGACCGGAUGUAAUCUGUCUUUAUUAUGUAGUAUAAUUUAACUUUUAAGUGAAAAGGCUUAAAUUUAUUAGUGGGACGAUAAGACCCUAUAAAACUUUAUAUAAUUGAAUUUGAUUUGAAAAUUUUGUGUAAAUUAGAGUAGAUUGAGUUAUAUUUUGUUGGGGAGACAAAAAUAUAAUUGUAACUGUUUAUUAUUAUAAAAUAUUUAUAAAUAGAUUCUGAUCCUUUAUUAGAGAUUAUAAGUAUAAGUUACUUUAGGGAUAACAGCGUAAUUUCCUUUGAGAGUCCAUAUCGACAAGGGUAGUUGCGACCUCGAUGUUGAAUUAAAAUUUUAGUUGGGUGUAGAAGCUUAAUUGGUGGGUCUGUUCGACCUUUGAAAUUUU
rnacentral:rRNA from 1 species